rnacentral:rRNA from 1 species
UGGGGAAUCUUGGACAAUGGGGGCAACCCUGAUCCAGCCAUGCCGCGUGGGUGAAGAAGGCCUUAGGGUUGUAAAGCCCUUUCAGUCGUGACGAUGAUGACGGUAGCGACAGAAGAAGCCCCGGCUAACUCCGUGCCAGCAGCCGCGGUAAUACGGAGGGGGCAAGCGUUGUUCGGAUUUAUUGGGCGUAAAGAGCUCGUAGGCGGUUCGGUUAGUCGGGUGUGAAAACUCUGGGCUCAACCCAGAGACGCCACCCGAUACUGCUGUGACUAGAGUGCGGUAGGGGAGUGGGGAACUCCUGGUGUAGCGGUGAAAUGCGCAGAUAUCAGGAAGAACACCAGUGGCGAAGGCGCCACUCUGGGCCGUAACUGACGCUGAGGAGCGAAAGCGUGGGUAGCAAACAGGAUUAGAUACCCCCGUAGUCC